CACCAAAUAAGAAGAAGAGGAAGACCUUCAGUUGCCUGGGAAGAAAAUGUACGGCACAUCAUGAAAGAUAGAGCCAUCAAAGAAGACGAAUGGAUGGAGAGAAAACGAAGGCGGUCGAAAUUCGAGAAGCGGCAGAGGCUGUAGGAACCUCACUUAUAGAUAGAUAGAAGUUAGUGUUUGAUACAAACGUUAUAGUUUUCAGUGAUAGUUAUUAUUUAUAUAAAGUAUCUGGAAUACUUUUGAGUUUUUCCAUAUCAUGACCAUUGGUUUACUUUGUCAUGCAUGAUUUUAUUUCUGAUUGAUUAAAGUUAUUAGAUUUUCAAAUACCUUUUAUUGCCUCUUUAUAUGCAAAAUGAAUAAAAAUCACACCGAAAUGUCAGCUUGCCUACUAUGCUUAUUAUGGUUAUGUAUUAACAGAAAGACUCAUCCAAUAGCUGAAUAUUGCGAUGUCCUGAGAAAAACAGAUUUCCCUGGACUAAUAAGAAAUCAAGGGAAAACUUAAGAGGUAAAACUUAAUUUGAUACACAAACUAUGUUAUACUUUGACCAAACUAAUUAGACGAACUUAUUUAACCAAGGAUAACCUAUGUGUAUGUGACCUGGUGAACUAAGACGCAGUAAGUGGGAGCAAAGUCAGGUUAGUUAAUUUGUACAAAAUCAGCAACAGAUAAACCAUAUGCACAAGUACUGGAAAUAGAAAGCUAAUCGAGAUAUUGUGAUAGAGAAACCCAUGUAUGCAACAGCUAAAAGAUAUAACUUUGACGAGAAGACAAUCUUUUGAAGGCGCAUGCAUUUCCCGGUAAGUCUAUCUGAUGAUGUCACAAAUUUUCAGGCGUAAAUAUUUGCCAUCCAUUACAGCAUGGAAGAAAUAGGAAGGCAGAGUCAUCCAUUGUCAUCUUCCAUCUCCAAUGUCAACACGGGCAAAGAUAUUGUACGUACAGAAUAGUGAUUUAACAAACCAUAAGUCUUAUAAUAUAAAAAAAUAACAACAAAUCUCAGAACUAGUAUUUACUUUAAAAAUAACUUUUAACUUACCAAGAGCAUUAACUAGUGCAGUUUCAGUUCUAGCAAGAUUUACGAAUCCACUGAGGGAAGAGACUUGUUUGUGUACCUUCUUGCAACUGCCACGUUUA